rnacentral:rRNA from 2 species
GUGGGGAAUAUUGCACAAUGGGCGCAAGCCUGAUGCAGCCAUGCCGCGUGUGUGAAGAAGGCCUUCGGGUUGUAAAGCACUUUCAGCGGGGAGGAAGGCGUUAAGGUUAAUAACCUUGGCGAUUGACGUUACCCGCAGAAGAAGCACCGGCUAACUCCGUGCCAGCAGCCGCGGUAAUACGGAGGGUGCAAGCGUUAAUCGGAAUUACUGGGCGUAAAGCGCACGCAGGCGGUCUGUCAAGUCGGAUGUGAAAUCCCCGGGCUCAACCUGGGAACUGCAUUCGAAACUGGCAGGCUAGAGUCUUGUAGAGGGGGGUAGAAUUCCAGGUGUAGCGGUGAAAUGCGUAGAGAUCUGGAGGAAUACCGGUGGCGAAGGCGGCCCCCUGGACAAAGACUGACGCUCAGGUGCGAAAGCGUGGGGAGCAAACAGGAUUAGAAACCCCAGUAGUCC